GAUGAACGCUGGCGGCAGGCUUAACACAUGCAAGUCGAGCGGGGGAAGGUAGCUUGCUACCGGACCUAGCGGCGGACGGGUGAGUAAUGCUUAGGAAUCUGCCUAUUAGUGGGGGACAACAUCUCGAAAGGGAUGCUAAUACCGCAUACGUCCUACGGGAGAAAGCAGGGGAUCUUCGGACCUUGCGCUAAUAGAUGAGCCUAAGUCGGAUUAGCUAGUUGGUGGGGUAAAGGCCUACCAAGGCGACGAUCUGUAGCGGGUCUGAGAGGAUGAUCCGCCACACUGGGACUGAAACACGGCCCAGACUCCUACGGGAGGCAGCAGUGGGGAAUAUUGGACAAUGGGGGGAACCCUGAUCCAGCCAUGCCGCGUGUGUGAAGAAGGCCUUAUGGUUGUAAAGCACUUUAAGCGAGGAGGAGGCUACUCUAGUUAAUACCUAGGGAUAGUGGACGUUACUCGCAGAAUAAGCACCGGCUAACUCUGUGCCAGCCGCCGCCGUAA
rnacentral:rRNA from 1 species